UUGGAUGCAAUGAACAAGCACCCUGCGUGACAGCAGUGCGUGCUGUCCUUCGGGAGAUGUGUCUCGUUGGCCAAAGUCUGUGAAGCAAAGCUUCCACAGGCUGGCUGCUCUGGCCAGCAAUGAGCUAUGGAAGCGAUUCCUCUGCAGGUAAAACACAAGGAGAAUUGUGAUUUAUAUUAUGAUUUUUAUUUUUUUUCCAGCAGUUGAGGAACUUUACUGUGUUUCAUGAGUCUUGGAUGCAACGAGCCCUGAGUUAAAGAAUUCAUCUAGCUAAUGAGUUUUUCAACAUUUUUCUGCCAAAAAGAAUAAAAAACAGUGACAUCAAAUAAAUUUGACACUAAGCUUGACUUCAGCUGCUUAACAGCCCAGACCUUCCCACUUUUCCUUCCCUGCCAAGCUAGGGAACACAAAUCACGUUUACAGUUCCUUUUGAAUUGUACAUGUGAUGUGGACUUGCACUAUAACAAGAUUAGUUUUCCCGGUAAUCUUCUUAAAAUACCCAUCCCAUGAUUGUCUUUUCAUCUCCUGGUGUUCUGGAACUUGGAUUAAUGGGAUUGAAAUUUAUUCCACAAGUCCUGUUUGAUAAGCUGCUUUCUGGAAUUAGUUGUCUAUGAACACGUUUCAUUUGGAAAGAGCAUUCUUGUGGCAGCUGAAUUAUGCAUUGUUACACCAAAUGUGCUCUACAAUACCUACAUAUGUACACACACAGUACGGAUGCCUGUAGAUACUACUAGACAAGAUUAAUAAAACAAGGCAGGCUUACUUGUUUCAGAGUGUUUAAAAUAUCUCACAUGGCUUUUUGAAGCAGAAUUGCAGAGCCUUGGACGUGCUUGCAAUUUAGCUGACCAAUUUACCACGUGUCUUUUCUUGUUUUCAUCACGUUUCAAGCACCAUCCUUAAACUACCCCUUCCACUGAUCCGAGGAUGUAUUUAUCAUGCAGUAAGUUUGAUCUGGUUCCCUUGCCACAGAAUCCCUUUUUAGUUAGCAGAAGUUUGAUAUCAAAUUAACAGCUAGUUUGCUUAAGCAAUGAUAUGAGAAGUCACACAGGAUUAACCCUAAAUACAACUUAGAGUGCGUGACUGAGCAGCUCUGCCUGGUAUCUUGUCAUAACCAAUGUGUAUUUUACAAACAGAAAAAAAUGAGUUUUGAAGCAUGAUUUAGAGCUAGUCUUGCCAAGAGCUCAGUAUUGCAGAAUUAAUUGUUCAACUCUCAUAUUUAGCUCAAAAGGCCACCCUGCAGAUGUAAAAAGCAUAUGGCUUCGUGCCUCCCCCUGCCUGUCCCCUCUGCCUCAAAUUUUUGACUCCAUUUCAACCUCCUCUCUUUAGUUGCUCUCAUUUUCGCAACAAAAGUUCCCAUCUUCCCCAGGAGGUGCUGCGAGGCAGGUGGUGGCUGUGGAACAUUUUGGAGUGAUCUGGUGGCACCCCCUGCUAUACAGUGACCGUUGGCGGGGGACAAAAUGCAGUGCUCGGAUGAACCUUCUGACCACAAAUAGACGCAUACACUCUGCAAGAGUGUAGGUCGCUAAAAAAUACCUUUAAUGUGUAUUCAGGGAUGCCAUGUGGCACAUCCCCGCUAGAUACAGAUGACUGGAUUCACUGCUCAUUACCAAGGUAAAUGUAUAGCUUUAAGAUCAAUGUACACAGCAGUGCCUGGGUUACAAAGCCAGGCUGCUCUCAUUCAAGACACAUCUUUUUUUUUUUUUUUUUUUUUUUCCCUUUCCAUACAUUAUUCAGUAGCAAAAUAUUUCAUGGAAAGUAACUUGUCUACCUACAGCCACCUAAAAGCAAACUCACUGCUAUGCCACACGUUUCCCAAGCUGUGGUACACAUCCUCUCAGUGCCACUGCUGAGCAGGAACCUGGCAGAGCAAGCAAGGAGCCUGAGGUGGUGUAAGCACAGUACUUGGAUUUAACAGUUUGGGAGCUCCUGUUCCGAAUUCAGACUUGCCCACAGGCCGGAUGUUUCCUCGCCACUUGCACAUACCUAAGGGCAAGUCUUUGAAAACCCGGCGCUGGCUGCACCGCGAAAUGGCGGACAGGCCCCCUCACACCUCACGCCACCUCCAUCCUCGGCCUCUGAGCACCCCGGAGCGGGGAGCAAGCGAUCGCUUCCCCAGCGCCUCGCCGGGCAGCAAGCAGGACCCACGGCACAGCCGAGACGACUUGUGGAAUGAGAGGCACGGCCGGAAGAGCGGCAGGGCCGGGCAACACCUCCCGACAUGGCGGCAGCUCCCCCUUCCCGCCUUCCCGCCUUCCCGCCUCCGUGCGGGCGGACCCGGGGCGGGCCCCGGCGGCCCCAUAAAGCCGGGUGCGCGGGGCUGGCCGCCCUUUUGCUCCGGCGUGGUUGAGGCCUGUGCAAGGGCAGGGGGCUGCUGGGCCUGCUGCAGACCUGAAGCGAUGGCUGGAGCUGGCUGGGCUCAGCAGUGUGAUGAGGGCAGUUGCCUGGUUUGCUCCACUGUGCCUGAACCCCUGAUGGGUGUGAAUGGCCUGUGCAAGGGCAGGGGGCUGCUGGGCCUGCUGCAGACCCGAAGUGAUGGCUGGGCCCAGCAGUGGAUCAGCUGUGCAGUGUGGCGAGUUGGCCUGCUUUGCUUCACUGUUUACUUUCUCCUUUGGCAGAAGAGAAUGCAUGUGUGAGGUGGCGAGUGAGGAUAAUGAGCUGAUCUAGCACUGUGACUCAACAGCAGCCUGGAAGCUGUGGUGAUGUGAUCUCUUAAAGACAAUUGCUCAGGAGAGCAGAAAAUACUUUUUAGUUAUUGACCUGAGAACUACAUCUGUUAAAAUAUUGUUUCUUCUACCAUCUUGCCUGCAGAGAGUAAUAUGCCUUGUCAGUUUUUAUGGGCCUGAAUUUUUUUUCCGAAUGUAAUGAAGUGCCUCGAUAAUAAACUGAAGAGUAUCUCUGUCAAUCUGUGGUAUAUGAUGACUUCAAACUUUUUUCCCCAUCAGAUCGGCAAUGCUGAUUCUAACUUCUAUUUUAGCCAGUUUGUCUGAUGCCACAGAUGCAAAAUUCAGUUUGUCGCUUGGCUCUAUAUUGAGGCUACCUGCCCUUGCACCCCUGUAGGCAGGGAAUCCUCGUGUAUGCUGCAUGCUUUUAGGGCAGGCAGCACUGGAGGGUGCUGUCUGCACAUACCUUAGUAACACUGAUUGUAUAACACUAUCCGACAUGCAUAAAAGACUUGAAGAUCAAAAGUGAAAGAAUUCUCGCUUUCAGAAGAUCUUCAGUAACAAAAAUGGCUGAGAUCUCUGUCAGGUUUCAGUUUAACAUAAAUGACACAAACAUUGCUUUUUUGUUGUUGUUUUGCCCUACUUUAGCAGUGAUAAAAUUAAGUGCUUCAUAUAAAGUCAGGGAACCUUUGUUCUCCUAGAUUUUUCUCUCUGUGGGAGGUUCUCCAUGCCUUGGAGGUGUUGAUAAGUUGAGAUCUGUCAGAAGUUGUCCCAGGACCUGCUGUGAUUUCGGUGUUCUAGGUGAAAGCUGUCUCCUGCUAAUGAUGUCCCUCUCCAUGCUGCUGCCUGUGAUCCCUUGUCCAAGCUACAGCAUCCACAUCAUCCUGCAACAGCUCUUUGGUCUGUUCUCAGAGCUAGCAGGGAAUGAUAAAUUGGUGUCUUGCCAACUCACAGAUAGAGGGUGUUAUAUUUUUUUCCUUUGUAUGAGACAUUUAAUCAGAAUGGAUUCUGGAACUUGUAUGUUUCACAUAAUUUGGUGCUUUUGUCUGCAAGGGCUGUCUGUGUUCACCUGGCAACUAAUGUUACCUUGUCAACUAAUGUUACCUUGUCAGUAUCAUGCAAAGUAUAGAAGCCUUAAAGAGCUAUUCUCAUGUAUGGGAUGAUGGCCUUGCGUGUAAGGAGAGGGGAUUCAAGUCUUGGUUCUCCCCUGUCACUCUGAAAGCUUUACUAAAGUAUCAUCCGCAUGUAAAGCAGGGAAGGUACAUUUGGAUGCUGCAGUGCAGUCUGUUUCUGUACUCUUUAGAGCCUAUUUUUAAUAAAAACCUUGUGUACUC